rnacentral:rRNA from 1 species
GACGUACGCUGGCGGCGUGCUUAACACAUGCAAGUCGAACGGUAAGGCCCUUCGGGGUACACGAGUGGCGAACGGGUGAGUAACACGUGGGUGAUCUGCCCUGCACUUCGGGAUAAGCCUGGGAAACUGGGUCUAAUACCGGAUAGGACCCUGGGAUGCAUGUCCUGGGGUGGAAAGCUUUUGCGGUGUGGGAUGGGCCCGCGGCCUAUCAGCUUGUUGGUGGGGUGAUGGCCUACCAAGGCGACGACGGGUAGCCGGCCUGGGAGGGUGACCGGCCACACUGGGACUGAGAUACGGCCCAGACUCCUACGGGAGGCAGCAGUGGGGAAUAUUGCACAAUGGGCGCAAGCCAGAUGCAGCGACGCCGCGUGAGGGAUGACGGCCUUCGGGUUGUAAACCUCUUUCAGCACCGACGAAGCGCAAGUGACGGUAGGUGCAGAAGAAGGACCGGCCAACUACGUGCCAGCAGCCGCCGUAA